CACACACACACACACACACACAAACAUUCGGUUGCCCCCUCUUACUCGCCUGCCAGAGAAGGGUAUCUCCUGGGUCACAAUUAGCUGAUGAUGCAACCUACCAGCAGCUAUUGUGUCUGACACCACCUCAUACAGACAGAGUGCAUGAAAUACAAAACGCAACAAGUCUGUUUGUCCUGCCCAUUACAUGGAUUACAUGAUCCAGGCUGUCUGUGUAAUAAGAUGUGUUGUUUGGUUCAUCUAUACUCUCUCUUUGAGACACAUGUUCCCUUUUAAACUUGCUGUUUGUGAUUCAAAUGAUUUCACAACCCUUUUGUUCAAUAUUGAAAUUGAAUGCGCCACGGAGAAUACUCUUUGUCUCACUCACCGAUCAACAAAAUCAACUAAACGGUCCUUUCUUCAACCGGCUCCAGAGAGAGCAACAUAAGGAGUGGUUCACCACCAAUUUAAGUGCAUGGAUGAAAACAGUAAUCAAAGAAAUGCUUACUGUUAUUAUCUUUCUCCCUAUUAUUUUCUCCCUAAGAUCCACCUCCUUAAAUCCUGCACUGAUCCAGCUGAUGGAAAGGCUUCUGAUUGACCAGGAUCACUAGAAGUGUUGUCGUAUUAAAAAGACUCAGCAGCAACUCCAGGAAGCAGUGAUUGAAGAGCGGGAGCCGCCCCACUGGAUGACAUCCGGAGGUUAAGCCUGUCCAUGAGGCAUAUUAGUGCAAUGAUCAAUGCAGAUGGGGGGCUCACUAAUUAAUGAUUGUGUGUGUGUGUGUUUUUUGUAACCUGCAACGUACAGUGCAUAUGUUACUUGGGAUUUUUUAAAAUUCUUUUUCCUUAUAAGAAGGUAAUGAUAGUCUCUCCUUGUCUUCUGUCAGAAUGUCUGUAUUUUACUGCCUGUCUGUCAUGUGUUGUGUUGCUCAGGAAGACUUUUUGACUCAGCUGUGCUGCCUUAAGAGUCCUACGUUUGAGCCCUGGAUCUGACACACAAACACACACAGAGAUGUAAAAGGAAGCUACAUGCCAAUAUUUUCAUGUAAAUUAACUUAUUUGUUUGUAGAAUUUAUAUUACAAUUUUUACACAUUUUUGCAUAUCCUUUUGAAUUUGGACAUAUGCUACAGGAUACUAGAUCAGCUAAAACAGACAAUUAUGAUAAGCUUAAUAUGCUUUCUGCUCUAUAGCCAGCUUGAAGAUGCCAUCUGAACUCCACCAGAGGGAGACAGAAUAACGCUGAAAAUGUCCCAGAUGGUCCGGUAGGCAUCAGCAAGGCUUCUGAAGAAACUGACUGGAUAAUUUCUCACAACAGAAAUGGAAAUAUGAGCAGCAUAGUGGAGAGAAUUCACACUUAUAGUGAAAUUGUUUCAAAAAUAUUGACCUUUUCACUUCAGGCAGAUUUCUUUCUAAGGAGAAAACAUUUUUUUGUCUUUUUUGACAGAGAAACACAAAUUUUUAGGUUUUGAUCACAUUUAACAGCCUUGGUGAAGGGAACACAUUUCAUGAGUCAUCGGGUGAUAAUCAAAAAACAAAACAAAAAAGUUAACUAUGACUUAUAUAACACAGACAGCAAAGAAAGCACAAUUAACUGUGAUGACUUUUUUUUUUUCAUUAAACUGACUGUAAACUUUGUAUUUACAUGUUUUCACUAAUACUGCCAGAAUAGCCACAUUUUCAGCAGCUGAAUGCUGGAAAGACUGAAAUUAACAGAACAAUGACUUUACUUUUUUUCCUGUGUUGUUGGAGUCUAAAAGUUAAGCUCCAAAUUUGGUUUUCCAGGUGAUGUUUGUAACAUUUAGGAAGUCCACACAGGAUGGGUGAGGCUCUGCCAGGCCUGCGGGCUGUUCCACAAGUUACAAACCCUCAUAUGGAGCAGAGCCAUGCAUUAUUCACCCCACAUUUACAUAAGACACAAUAGUGAGAACGGUGCCAAAAAAGUGUACGGCUGAACUGUGUGUUUGUGUGUGUUUAUCUGGCGUAUCAAGGGUGCUUCUGAGCAUUCCCGUGAAUCUCUUUGCCACCUGAGGUUUUUGCUGUUCUGCCAACAAUUGUUGAUGCAAUCUAGACGAGGGCACAGACCCCAAGGCUCAUCCUCGAAUCCCUGAAAGCUUUGGUUACCCAUUACAAGAAGAGAGAGCAAAGGAGGGAGCGGGCAGAUAAAGGCUGAUAUUGUUUCUGUGCACAUUUAUCUUUCUGUCUGAAAGCCCUGUUUACUGAGGACUUAAAGCCAAACCAGGUUCUCUGGCAUUUUUGAAAAAACACAGGUCAGAGUGGCCAUGACUUACUUCAGAAUUCCUUCACGGUGACGAAUGAUGUAAUAUGAUGCUCAAACAAUCACAAAGUAAUACUGUUAUGUUCCUGUGAUGGCAUGCCUUUGUGUUGAGUCAGAAAGUAAUCAGAUAAGCGCUCAAGUGUUGAUAUUAGCUUUGCUAUUUUAAACACAUUAACCGAGUUUAGCAGUUUCACCAGAGUGAAUGAGCAAGUUGAAGACUUAAAACAAAACUACAAAAUAGUCCCAGAAGCACCAGAAUAAGUGUCAGAGAAAGCUGGACAGGAAACAGAUUCUCCACAAAAGAAUGCUCACUGUGAGGCGAAGUGAUCACUGGGCAAGCUAUCUUUCAGGAGGGCCCCAGCAGCUUCAAUAUACCCUAAAUAUGUUUCCUCCUGCAGUCAAGGGUACUUUGCAUCUGUUGUUACAACAAUUUGAACUCUUGCGCUACCUUCAGGCAAUUAGAUACAGAUAAUUUUUAACCUCCAUGAUGGAGGUUAUGUUUUUCUGUUAGCGUUUGCUGGCGUGCCUUCUGUCAUUACGUCUGUAAACACAACAGCACAAAAGGUUUUGAAUGAAUUUUGGUCCAACUUUGCAGGGGUUCAGAAUGGGGUCAUGUUAACAAUCCAUUAAAAUUUGCCUCCGAUCCACCAAGUUCUUCAAGGUCAUCUUAAUGAUUUAGUAGUUGAAAAUGGACAAAAAGCCUUAUAACUGAGCUGAGAAACUGUGAUUCUUACAAGUGUGGUGUGUAUUGUUAACAUAUAGAAAGUAUCAUAUAAAGAUUUAAAAUAUCAUGUCACAUUUCACCUCUGACCUUUCCUUCAAGGUCAAUAGAUGGGUCAAAGUGAUAAUAAUGCUAUAUAGAGCUAUUCAAAACUAUGUUUCUUACUGCCAUUAUUUGUAUUGACUGCAUAUAGAGAAUUAUAUAUGGGUGUUUUAAA